rnacentral:rRNA from 1 species
AUUGAACGCUGGCGGCAUGCCUAACACAUGCAAGUCGAACGGUAACGCGAGGAGCUUGCUCCUUGGCGACGAGUGGCGGACGGGUGAGUAAUACUUAGGAAUCUGCCCAGUAGUGGGGGACAACUCGAGGAAACUCGAGCUAAUACCGCAUACGCCCUAAGGGGGAAAGUGGAGGAUCUUCGGACUUCACGCUAUUGGAUGAGCCUAAGUCGGAUUAGCUUGUUGGUGGGGUAAAGGCCUACCAAGGCGACGAUCCGUAGCUGGUCUGAGAGGACGAUCAGCCACACUGGGACUGAGACACGGCCCAGACUCCUACGGGAGGCAGCAGUGGGGAAUAUUGGACAAUGGGGGCAACCCUGAUCCAGCAAUGCCGCGUGUGUGAAGAAGGCCUGCGGGUUGUAAAGCACUUUCAGUAGAGAAGAAAAGCUUAAGGUUAAUACCCUUGAGUCUUGACGUUACCUACAGAAGAAGCUCCGGCUAACUCCG